UACAGAGGUCCCGAGCGUUAGGCGGAAUCACUGGGCUUAAAGCGUGUGUAGGUGGAUCGUUAAGUACCUUGUGAAAUCCCACGGCUUAACCGUGGAACUGCUUGGUAUACUGGCGGUCUUGAGCCAGCUAGGGGCUACCGGAACAAAUGGUGGAGCGGUGAAAUGCGUAGAUAUCAGGAGGAACACCUGUGGCGAAAGCGGCUCACUGGACCAUUACUGACGCUGAGGCUCGAAAGCUAGGGGAGCAAACAGG
rnacentral:rRNA from 1 species